AGUGGCAUUGCCGGGUAGCUAAGUUCGGAAGAGAUAACCGCUGAAAGCAUCUAAGCGGGAAACUCGUUUCAAGAUUAGAUCUGCCGGGGCCUUGAGCCCCCUAAAGAGUCGUUCAAGACCAGGACGUUGAUAGGUCAGGUGUGGAAGCGCAGUAAUGCGUUAAGCUAACUGAUACUAAUUGCUCGUGCGACUUGACCCU
rnacentral:rRNA from 1 species